rnacentral:tRNA from 1 species
GUAGGUAUGGUGUUAGUGGUUAGCACAUGACAUUGCCAAUGUCAAGGGGUCAGUUCAAAUCUGAUUAUCUACUCA